rnacentral:rRNA from 1 species
GUAACCUGCCUGUAAGACUGGGAUAACUCCGGGAAACCGGGGCUAAUACCGGAUGGUUGUUUGAACCGCAUGGUUCAGACAUAAAAGGUGGCUUCGGCUACCACUUACAGAUGGACCCGCGGCGCAUUAGCUAGUUGGUGAGGUAACGGCUCACCAAGGCAACGAUGCGUAGCCGACCUGAGAGGGUGAUCGGCCACACUGGGACUGAGACACGGCCCAGACUCCUACGGGAGGCAGCAGUAGGGAAUCUUCCGCAAUGGACGAAAGUCUGACGGAGCAACGCCGCGUGAGUGAUGAAGGUUUUCGGAUCGUAAAGCUCUGUUGUUAGGGAAGAACAAGUGCCGUUCAAAUAGGGCGGCACCUUGACGGUACCUAACCAGAAAGCCACGGCUAACUACGUGCCAGCAGCCGCGGUAAUACGUAGGUGGCAAGCGUUGUCCGGAAUUAUUGGGCGUAAAGGGCUCGCAGGCGGUUUCUUAAGUCUGAUGUGAAAGCCCCCGGCUCAACCGGGGAGGGUCAUUGGAAACUGGGGAACUUGAGUGCAGAAGAGGAGAGUGGAAUUCCACGUGUAGCGGUGAAAUGCGUAGAGAUGUGGAGGAACACCAGUGGCGAAGGCGACUCUCUGGUCUGUAACUGACGCUGAGGAGCGAAAGCGUGGGGAGCGAACAGGAUUAGAUACCCUGGUAGUCCACGCCGUAAACGAUGAGUGCUAAGUGUUAGGGGGUUUCCGCCCCUUAGUGCUGCAGCUAACGCAUUAAGCACUCCGCCUGGGGAGUACGGUCGCAAGACUGAAACUCAAAGGGAAUUGACGGGGGCCCGCACAAGCGGUGGAGCAUGUGGUUUAAAUUCGAAGCAACGCGAAGAACCCUUACCAGGUCUUGACAUCCCUCUGAACAAUCCCUAGAGAUAGGGACGUUCCCCCUUUCGGGGGGCA